AUUGAACGCUGGCGGCGUGCUUAACACAUGCAAGUCGAACGAAGUGGCGAACGGGUGAGUAAUGCGUAAUCAACCUGCCCUUCAGAGGGGGACAACAGUUGGAAACGACUGCUAAUACCGCAUACUGAAGGAGGGGAUUGCGUCUGAUUAGCUAGUUGGGGGGGUAACGGCCUACAAAGGCGAUGAUCAGGAGCCGGGCUGAGAGGAUGGACGGCCAAAUUGGGACUGGGACACGGCCCAGACUCCUACGGGAGGCAGCAAUUGGGAAUCUUCCGCAAUGGACGAAAGUCUGACGGAGCAACGCCGCGUGAGUGAUGACGGCCUUCGGGUUGUAAAGCUCUGUUAAUCGGGACGCGGUACCGGAAUAGAAAGCCACGGCUAACUACGUGCCAGCAGCCGCGGUAAUAC
rnacentral:rRNA from 1 species